rnacentral:tRNA from 1 species
GCCGAAGUGGCGGAAGUGGUAGACGCGACAGUCUCAAAAACUGUUGGAGAGCAAUCUCCGUGUCGGUUCGAGUCCGACCUUCGGCACCA